AGGAGACAUAUGUAAAACUUUAGACAGUCUAUAUAUAUAAAAGGCUAAUAUGCAAAGUGUCCUCUUGGGAGUUCGACCCAGAGACUGGGAGUUGGAUCAUUUGCUGUGACAUGUGUGGAUCACCCUGGGGUGGCGCAGAACGAAGGAAGGCCCAGGCCAGCAGCUGGCAGCCGGGGAAGGGAGGCCGCAGAUGGCAGCCAGGAGGCCCCUAUAGGCCCUGAUCGCCGGCCAGGCCCAAGGACCCUACCCGUGCACAAAUUUCAUGCACCAGGCCUCUAGUAAAUUAAUUAAUUAAUUAAAAAGGCGUUUGCUGCUUGACAGGGUUGAUGUGCCUGUUUUAAGCAACCCAAAGAAAAGGCUGGCUUCACAGAAAUGAACAAGGGGUGGGGGAUCAUUAAUCAUCUUGCAAGACAUUUUAAACUUCUGAAGAAUCCACCAUAGUUAUCUAUAUUUUCUUUUUGCAUUUAACAUGAUUAAUUCCCAAAUAAUUUAUUUAUACAUGAUUUUGGGUAUAUUAUUUUUUGACUAUGUGGAUUAAUAUUAAAGUUUGAAGAGACUAAAGGAGUCAUGUUGGUUCUUCCCCUGUUUUUUGAGAUUAUAAAAAACCUUGCAAUAACAUUAUGCAAUAUAUUUUAACUAAUAUAAUUUUCAGUUGACAGUUAUACCUCAAUAGAACAGGGUGGAACUCUAAAAAAAAUAAAAUAUAAAACACCUUAAGUUAUAGAGAAUGUUAUUUAUCUAAUGUGAGCCAAGCCUUGUUUGUAAGAAUUAGAAGUAUUUACUACUAACUGUCUUUGCCAAAUGGGCUUUCCAUGGAGAAACAAAUAAAGGUAUGUCAGAAUUUUGUCAGCCAUUUCAUCAUUGCAGUUGGUAUAUAGAUUUAUGCUUACCACACUAUUAAAUUACAUGGCACAUAGCAGUUAAAUUACAGUGUGGAAUGUAGCAGACAUGCACCAACCAUACUUUUCUGUUCUGCUAUUUUACCUUUUCCUUUGCUACUUUCCAAAGGUAGUUGUCACUUUAUCCUAUUUUGAUUAUUAUGAAGAUGCAUACAAGAACAUUUUGUCUCAGGCUGUUUUCAAUAAAAAACCAUAGAGCAAAUUUUAUAGAUAGCUCCAAUUUUUGUAACUCUAAGAAUAAUACUGCUUAUAGCAGUGGCCCCAUUCCGGAGUGCAGAUGGUUUUGAUGUAUAUAUUUCAGGUAUCUGGAGCAGUGCCGAAAAAGGCAGUUCUGGUUGAUACCUAUUUUAGAAUUAGCUCUCCAUCCAUAAAUGUGUGUUUUUGAACGGUUUCUUUCUGGAAUUAUGCAGACCUGGAAUAAGACUAAAUUUUGUUGGGUGGAUUUUUAAAGUGGUGACAGUACAACAUAUAGUGUAGGAAUAAUUUUAAGAUUAGGGCCAUUGUGUGGUUUUCCAAAUCUCUUUUACUUAAUAAAAAUACAGCUGUUCAUUUAGACAAUUAUUGACCAUUAAGAAACAAAGCUAUCUUUCUAUUGACAUUAGAAAGACCAGUCCUGUUCCCUGAAUUGAAAGUAAACUUUUGGUAAAAACAAAACAAAACAAAAAACAAUUAUAAGACUAAACCUGUUUCUUGAGUGUAGACCUGUCUCUUGAGUGGAGGGUUGGAUUACUGUACAGUCCCUGAGAUAGCGUCAAUGCAGAUGAAAUCGGGGGCCGGCCACUGUUCUUAUCCUGGCGUGGGAGGAGUAGGUCAGUGAGGGAACUUGGGAUGAGGAGGAAGAGAGGAAGGAAACCACCUACUUCACUCAGCUUGGUGUGUGAGAAGAGCAAGGCCUUCUGAAUCAAAAUGCCCACUUUCUAGUUGUUACUUUCCCUCCUCAGGAGUUCUCUGUGGGCCCUGGGGCCAGACUGCCAGGAUCGGUUCCCAUCUUGACUGACUGUGUGACUGCUUAGCCUUGAGAAUUUGAGCUCAUUACCUAAAACUCUUUGAGCCUCAAUUUCUCAUCUGCUUGAUGGAGGCAAUAAAAGGACGUGCUUUUGGGGAAGUGUGAGGAUUAAAUGAGCACAACCCCAGAGUAAGCUAAACCAACUGAUAUUGUCAGGAUUUAAAUUCCUUAACCACUCUGAGCUUUAGUGUUUCUCAUUCAUAAAAUGGAAUAUCAUGGACAGUGUGAAGAUUACAUACAGUGGAUGAUAUUGGCUAAAAGUUCUUAGCAAACUACUGAGAUGUGAAGUAAUGUUUAGCUGAUUAAAAUGCUUUAACUGACUUGCAUUCUCCAUUGCAUCAAACAUUUGAAUGAGAAAACUUUUACUCUGUCUAGUGAAUGGCAGUUUAUUCAUAGGACACCCAGGUUUUGGCAGUUGGUUAUUGAAUAUUAUAACUGACUGGUUCCUGCAGACAUUAUUUAUUGAGCACUUGCUAUGGAAAAUCUCAGGAGAGGCUGCAGGUGAGAUCUGGGAGGCCCAGAGAACUUUGGCCCGUCAUGUGACCCCUAGUUUUAACUAUGCUCAUUGUUUCCCAGACUUCUUGUUCUGAUAUGGGACAUAGGCAGAAAGCCCCAAAUACUGCAACUGAAAGGAGUGACUCCUAUGCACAGUUGCUUUCAAAUUCUGUUUUCCAUUUGCACCUCCACAUUUUUUUUCCAGAGUGAGAAAGAAAAUCCCUCUCCUCUUAAGUACUGCUUUUUAAACCGUUCUUACUGCAUACUGCUCCUGCUUUUCUCUUGCCACCAGGCUUCCAUUUGUGAGCCAUCUGAAUAACUUCCCACAUAACACAUUUCUGUUCACUGCUGCUCUUCCCCUGGGGAAUACAGAUGAGGUUGGGGAUGCAGGAGCAGCCAGGGGACACUGAGAUAAUGGCUCUCUGUCAUCGUGAAUAAUUCUCUCAGUUUGAAUUCUCAGCAAUUAACCAGGUUGCUGGUGGUUUGUGAUUUUUUUUUCUUUCCCUUUUUUUUACCUUCUUGGUAUAUAUCUAGCUUUAAUGAUUUCACAGAAUGUUUGUCACCCUGAAGCUUUACUUGCAAAAUAAAAACCCCAAAAAUGAACAAAGUGAUUUCACCAGUGACCUUUCUCUCUCCAUUAUGAUGUAGUCUAUCAACAUGAUACCAUUAUUUAAAUGCACAGAACUUUAGCUGUUAGCCACUGACUGAGAAUAGGAUGGUCUAGAAACUAGUCAUGAAAGCUGGGAGUUUUUGCAGUGAUCCAGGAACUUUUCCAGAUUCAUAAAGUGUUUUCUGAAAUAAAAGGCAGAACUACACAAUUUUGAUUUGGAAAAUCAAGACGUCAGGGUGCCCCAAAUCUAAAAUAUUAAAAGAACAGAAGAGAAGAGUAUUGAAUAAACCCCAUGUCCCUUGGAAUGGGUUUCAAAGAACUCUAAAAUUAUCCGAGUGGCGUCUCUUCUUACAGACAGGAGUUCCCUUCACUCAGACUUUGAGAUCUUUAUUCAGUGUGCAGACAACUGUUUCGUUUUCCUAGGUGCUAGGGUCCCUCUAGGUUUCUUAUUUCUCUACUCAGGGCAUGAGCAUGCUGUCUCCUAGGCUUGAAACGUUAGAGGCCCUCUUGAUUUCUUCUUCCCCUUCAUCCCCAAUCUCUAGUUGGCUGCUAGGUCCUGCCAUUCCUUUCAGAUGUCUUUUUGUAUCCCUUUUCUCCUUAACUACUUCAGUUACCUUUUUCUUCCUGACACAACGCCUGGAACAUGGCAAGUGCAAAAAUGCCUGGGCAACUCUAAGGGAGGUAUGUGUAGGACUUCCCCAAUUCAGUCACCAGUCUUUUUAUUAUAACUCACUGCUUAUUUCUACACUUGUGGUUUACUUGGAGGCACUUUGUGAGAAGAAACCUAUUUUAUCACUUAGUGAGAAUGACUGAGAACAGGACCCUGGUUUAGGCAAAACAAAACAAAAAACACACACAAAAACCUCCCUAAGUGAGAAGUGGAAGCAUAGUGGUCGUUACCAACGCGCUUUCACAAAUCGACCUCGUAACUCAGACUCGGUGCCCUAGAAAAAGUAGAAAAGAGAGCAUUUGGAGAUCACUUGGGAAAAGUGGAAACUGUGAAUGUUAAGUCUCGGAUUGCUAAGGGGCUAUGGUAUUUCCUGCCCAUUUUCUAUUUCUCUUCUAAUUCAUUUUUUAAAAUCUUGUAGAUUAAUUUUGCUGAAAUACCAUUUGGUGUUCCUCAUCCCCUGUUUGAGAACCUGCAGUGACUCAUCACCAGUUGUAGAAAACAAUUCAAAGGCCUUAAUGAAGCUGGUUGUAGGCCUCCCACAGUUUGGCCUGGGCCCACCUGUCUUGUCUUCUCCUUCAGAAACCUUUCAAAUCCAGCCAAAUUGAUUUGUGCUUUGUCCCUGUAGUAUAUAUUUUCCUAUCUCUGCAUUCCUCUGAAUUUUCUUUGGAAUAGGUUUCGAAUCUGAUUCUCUUUCUCUAAUCUCUACUCGGUCUGUGUUCAGGCCCUGUAGGGUUGGCCUAGGGCCCAAACCCAAUUGUGAAGGCCACACUGGUUGAAAUGUGGGAGAAUUCACUGACAUAAUCGAAUGUCAUUACUUCAGUUAGUAAUGAUUAUUGAUAAAAAAUGCUAAUUGAAUCAGGGCUGAGGGAUUGACCACACACUGAAAAGAACCAUUCAAGAAUUCCAUAAUUGAAACCAUGCCGUAAUUGCUUAUCUCUGGAAAUCCUUCUUGCUUCAGUAAAUCAGGUUUUGUAUUUUCAUAGGAAAAGCCAUAGUUGGAUCAUAGAACAAGUCCUAGAAUCAGACUAUCUGGGUGUGAAACCUCACUCUGACUUCCAGCUGUUUAAUCUUGGACAGCGUUUCCCUGUCUCCGGAUGGGUCUGAUAAUGAUACCUACCCACCUGGGAGGGUGGGUGUGAGGACAGUGCCCGCCACAUGCUCAUCAACCAGUUAUCGACCAUAUGCCUAGUGACAAACGCUGCACUCGGUAUUGAGCAUGCAGAGGACAAGAUUGACAUUUAGUUCUCUGCCUUGAGCUUUAGAGUAUUUGCCCCACCCUUUGCACCAGCCUGGGAAAAGAACCAUUUCCGAUUCCCUGUGCACCAUCAGACACAUGCUGCUUGAUUGCUGGGAUGAAUUUAAGUUUUGAUCUACCUUGUAAGUUUCCUAGUCAGAAUUAUGUUCUUGUGGAUGUUAUUUGGGUUUGAACAUUUUCUUUUGCUUAUUUGUUGCUAGCGUCUCUAAGUCUGCACAGGACAGCAAACACUCUUUCAGCAUUGCAUACUUUUUCUUACUGACUAGUAGGACCAUUUACAGUUUUUAAAGCACUUUGACCAUGAAGUAAUUUGAAGAGGAGGAAAGAACUACUUCAAAACAUAGAGGCAGGCAGGCAGCAUCAUGAUAUAGAUGAAAUAUACAAGUCAGGUACUUGAGUUAGUCCCAUUGUUAGGUGGAAAAUUUCCUCCUGUGACUUGCAAAUUUUUUUUUUUUAAUAUAUUUUAUUGAUUUUUUACAGAGAGGAAGGGAGAGAGAUAGAG